GCUGCUGUUGCUGCUGUUGCUGCUGCUGCUGCUGCUGCCGUAAGUGUUGGCUGGUGUGUGCAGCAGCAGCAGCAGCAACAGCAGCAGCGGGAAGGGUCUGUGUCUGGGCAUUGCUGCUGUGGCAGCAAGGGCCCCUCUUAAUCUUCCUAA
rnacentral:snoRNA from 1 species